UUAGUACUUUGUGCCGUAGCCUUUAUUCUUGAUGACGGCUGAACAACGCCUUGGCAUUGAAUUCGCUUGAGCAAGAGACCAACAAAACACCAAAGACGAACUGAAGGUAAGGAUUAUGGCAGCGUUCACCAACUUAAACAAUGAGACCAUCCAGAAGAGUUGCAGGAGUUUCUGAAGUUGUCUAGAGGCUGUGGUUGAAGCCAUGGGUAAUUUUAUUGAAUAAAUUUACUCUUUAGUAUUUCAAGAUAUAUUUAUGUAAUUUUGGUGAAUAUAUCUGUUAAAAUGAGAUGUCAGUGUUAUUUUCAUUUUUGCGUAAUUUAGAUGACAGUUUAUACACUGCACCCUUUAUAUAUAUAUAUAUAUAUAUAUAUAUAUAUAUAUAUAUAUAUAUAUAUAUAUAUAUAUAUAUAUAAUUGCUUUAACAUCUCCUUUUCUGUGAUUGCAUGAGUCAGACAAAAUUUGAUGAGAUAGAUAUUUCACCGUUGGAUGCUCUUUUUGCUGCCAACCCUCACCUAUUUCCAAGUAAGGUAAUAGUUCUUCUAAUCCUUCCAACACGAACAGACGACAAUAUAUUUACCACAAUCCUGUAUGUAUAAUGUACGUAGAAGUAAUCAACCCCUCUUCUCACUGCAGCUCUACUCCCCUCCUUCUGAUACAGCAUUUCUUUCUUGCUAUCCAGAACCAAUUUACUUGCUAGCCAUUCUUCUUCCAUUAAUAUUGCUCCCCCUCACCUGCUCUUGCCUUAUCACCCAACUCUACCUUUGUCUCCCUGCUGUUGCCAGUCACUCACCCUCUCCCAUCUGCCUCUACUUAUUCUUCACAUCCGUCUUUUAUUCCACCCUCCCAGUCAUUCUGGUUCCUUGGAUGUCAUUGUUUUUUCUCUUCUUUCUCUCCAAAUCCCUCUCCUUGGUCACCUGUGCAAAUGUACAUUCCCUAAUUUAUCGAGUAUUCCUUAACCCUUUAGUGUUCAGAUUAUUCUGUCAAAUGUGAUGUUUGUUUAUUUAAAAUGGUUUGAAUUAAUCCUGCAUUAUCUUGUAGUUUAGAGAUUUCAGUGAUGUGAUUUUUUAGUUUUAGAAUGACAUGGUAGGGCUGAGGUGAGAGGCGAGAUCUGGUCAGUUUCAAUAUAAAACAGGUUAAAUAUUUUGGCCAGAUAUGGCCGGUUUGAAUGCUAAAGGGUUAAACUUACAUUUAAGUCCCUAUAUGAAGGUGCAUGGCUUAGUGGUUAGUGUUUGGCUCAUGCUUGAAAAGUUGUAAGUUCAAUCCCAGUGCAGCACACCGUGUCCUUGAGCAAGAUACUUCAUUUCAUGUUGCCCCAGUCCACUCAGCUGGCAAAAAUGAGUUGUACCAGUAAUUAAAAAGGGCCAGUCUUGUCACAUUCUGAGUUACAUUGAAUCUCCCUGAGAACUAUGGAGUGUUGUGGCAUGCUCAACGACUUGCACAUUAAUUUCACUAACAAGCUAUUCCAUUUAACAGAUUGACUGAAACCCUUGUUGUCAUAACUGACAGAAUAACAGUUUAAGUCCCCAUCUUCACAUCUCAAAUACUGUCACCAUUGUUCCACUCUACAAAUUCGAAUUUCCUGUAUACAAGUGCUCUACCACUACCACCACCACCAUCACACACCCUUACUGUUUACACUGGAAAGUGGUUGACUAUAUGAGCAGAAAACGUUCAUGGUUAUGAAGUCAACCUAUCCAACCUCUCUAGUGCGGAGGCAACUGGGAAAUGCACCCAGGAGUGGCUGUGUGGUAAGUAACGCCUCCUGAAUCAGAAUCAGCUAUUGGUAGGUGUGGUACAAUAUUCUUACUAAUCAUUGCUCUGAAUGCACACCUAAGAAAAUAUAUAUAUAUAUAUAUAUUUUAUAAGGUGUGCAUUCAAAGCAGUGAUUAGUAAAUUUACGAAACCGGUAUGCUUUUGAAUCUCUUUAACAAUUCACAAUAAUGACUUUUAUUACUUUUAUUCCUACCUCAGUUCAUCUAAGUGUAUAUAUCUUUCGUUACUUUUCAUAAAAAGCCUUUACUUUUUUUGAUUUCCAAUCUGCAUUUUCGCUUAUUUUUCUUCUCACUUCCCCCUUACAUUUCCACGUGCAGCUUCUAUUUUCUUUUCGUAACAUAUUUCUAUUAAAAAUAUAUGUAUAUAUAUAUACACAUACAUGUAUGUAUGUAUGUGUAUAUUAAGAAAAAGGAAGGCAGUCAGGGUUUGGAUAAAAAGUAUUUAUUUAAUAAAAAGUGUUUGGCCCAAAUCCUUACUACUUUCUUUUUCUGAAUGCAUAAAAUGUGUACACUACUUCAAACAAUUUCUUUCUCUUUUUCUCUCUCUCCCUCCCUCCCUCUCUCUCUCUCCCUCCCUCCCUCUCUCCCCCUCCCUCCCUCUCUCUCUCUCUCUCUGUAUAUGCAUGCAAACACACACACAUGUAUGUAUGUAUGGAACUAUAUCUAUCUAUUUAUCCAUGUGUCUGUCAAUGUGUAUAUGUGUAUGUGUGUGUAUGUGUGUCUUUGCGUUUGUCCACUGUCACCACCACUUGAUAACUGGUGUUAGUUUGUUUACGUCCUCGUAACUUCACGUUUUGGCAAAACAGAUCGAUAGUGUAGGCACCAGGCUCAAAGAAAAUAAGUGCUGGGGUCAAUUUGGUUGAUUAAUCCCUCCAUGGUGGUGCCCCAGCAUGGCCACAGUCCAAUGAUUGAAACAGAUAAAUGAAAAAAACAUUGAAUUAUUUAUUCAGCCAGGUGAUUAUUCUAAUUACCUGUGAGUGUAUGUAUAUUGCUCAGUGUUACCUGUAUUGGAGGCAUUGAAUCUUGUCUAGGCAUGUGACUGGCUGCAAAUACAUGUCAAUGGUAAAGACCAAAAAGAUUGAAAUAUACUCUGGUAUUCUCACUAGCCACUGGCGGAAAGAUUUUUCCAUCUCUGUCCAGUAUAUGUUAUUUUGAAACAAGACACAUCCAUAAGAGAUGAUUUCUCAAAUAGGCACAGGAGUGGCUGUGUGGUAAGUAGCUUGUUUACUAACCACAUGGUUCCAGGUUCAGUCCCACCGCGUGGCAUCUUGGGCAAGUGUCUUCCACUAUAGCCUCGGGCCAACCAAAGCCUUGUGAGUGGAUUUGGUAGACGGAAAAUGAAAGAAGCCCAUCGUAUAUAUGUAUAUAUAUAUAUGUGUGUGUGUAUCUGUGUUUGUCCCCCUAGCAUUGCUUGACAACCGAUGCUGGUGUGUUUAUUUCCCCAUUACUUAGUGGUUCGGCAAAAGACACCGAUAGAAUAAGUACUGGGCUUACAAAAGAAUAAGUCCCGGGGUCGAGUUGCUCGAUUAAAAGGUGGUGCUCCAGCAUGGCCGCAGUCAAAUGACUGAAACAAGUAAAAGAGUAAAGAGUAAUAACUUGCUAUCUUUUAUUCCUUUAUUCUUUUACUUGUUUCAGUCAUUUGACUGUGGCCAUGCUGGAGCACCGCCUUUAGCCGAGCAACUCGACCCCCGGAACUUAUUCUUUGUUAGCCUAGUACUUAUUCUAUCAGUGUCUUUUGCUGAACUGCUAAGUUACAGGGACAUAAACACACCAAUAUCGGUUGUCAAGCGGUGGGGGGUGGCAAACACAGACACACACACACACACACACACGUCUUUUGUUUUUCUAAAAAUUUCAAAUAUAUAUAUUUACAUACAUUUACAUACACCCAUAUACAUAUAUAUACAUAUACCUACACACACGCACGCGCGCACACACAGACCAUGUUUAUUCAACCGUGUCGGCCUUCUUUUUAGGUGCAAAAUAUACUGUCACAUGACACUGUUGCACAAACACAGCGGGAAAACAUACAAAAGGUUAUAAACUUAAUCAUGUGUUAAUUCUCUACAAGCACUUAACGAAAAACACAUUCAGACAUUGAUUUUUUGGACAUGUUCAGUCAACCAUGUCAACCUUAACUGACGACACCAAGCAUUAUCACUUGAUUCUAAUGUAGCAGGGUACCUACAAAAAUUCCUAAGACUAGUCAUGUGGCUAUCCUCUACUAAUUGAAUCCUAUUCAAAACAUAUUGCUCAGAACAUUGACCUCCUGGAAUCUGUCCAGAGACGUGCAACCAAACGCAUACCCUCUAUCAGACACCUACCAUAUUCUGAGCGCCUUGUUUCCCUGGGCAUGGAUUCACUGAAGCUCCAGCAUCUGGCGACGGACUUGGUAAACACCCACAAAGUUAUCAACCACCUCACCAACAACAACACUGAACACCUUUUUGAUCUCCAUGUGUCUAACACACGUGGACAUGCCUACAAAGUCAGAAAACAACACAGCUCCCAUGACUUUCGGAAACAUUUUUUCACGCUCAGAGUUGCUGAAGCAUGGAAUAAACUGCCUGCGUCAGUUGUUGACUGCCAUUACACUGCAUCCUUUAAGGCCCUCAUGCUUUCCGAAAUCCGCCGAAACUACACCUGGUUAUAUAUACACUUUAGAUGAGUUGUAGUGCACCUGAGCAUUGUACACAAUUAUUAUUAUUAUUAUUAUUAUUAUUAUUAUAUACUCCUCUGAGCCAUGAACUCCCUAAGGCAAGCUUCAAACACUUGUCAGAAGCAAGACAGCUGCGACAUAAGCCAUGUCUGUGAAACCUGUCAAAGCUUUAAAUAAAUUAAUAAAAAAAUAUUUAACUAUUCUCAGUGCAUUUUCAACUUCUAUUUUUCAAAAUAUUCUGUUGUGUCUGGGGAGAGUCAUUUUUUUUUUUUGUGCCUUGUAAUGUAACACACUUGACUAUUGAAAAGGUUGCAAGAACAACAAAAAUUUUAGGAAAAUAAAAAUAAAAAAAUAAGUGGAAAUUUUACCGGUGAGUGUGUUACAUUAUAAGGCACAAAAAGAAAAUGACUCUCCCCAGACACAACAGAAUAUGCUUCAACACACGAACUCAUAUAAAGAAUCUUGCAAACCAAAUCCCCCCAAAAAUUUUUCAAAAUAUUAUACAUAUAUAUAUAUAAUGUGUGUGUGUGUAUUUACACUAAUUCCUGCGAACAAUAUGAUGAUGCCUUGAGUUUAAUCCAUAAUCUUGUUCGUCUUCUGGAGUUUGUUGAAACAGAAAGCUAAAGAACGUUUUCUCUUUCCUACUAAUCCCUCACCACUUUCCCCAACUCACUGUAUUCUGUUGUUAUAUUUAAUAUUAUCAUUUUCUCUCAGUAAUAUUUAUAAUUUCAAGGCAGUGAGCUGGCAGAAUCAUUAGCAUGCCAGGCAAAACGCUUAGCAGCAUUUCAUCUGUCUUUACAUUAUGAGUUCAAAUUCUGCCGAGGUUCACUUUGCCUUUCAACCUAACGGGGUCGAUAAAUUAAGUACCAGUGAAACACUGGGGUUGAUGUAAUUGACAAGUCCCCACCCCUCCAAAAUUUCAAGAGAAUACCCUCCAUCAGGCAUUUGCCAUAUUCUGAACUCCUUACUUCCCUGGGCAUGGAUACAUUGAAACUCUGACGUCUGGCAGCUGACUUGGCAGACACCCAUAAAAUUAUUAACCAUCUUACAAACAAUAACUCUGAGCACCUUUUCAAACUCCACCCAUCUAGCACCCGUGGACAUGAUUACAAAGUCAGAAAACAGCACAGCUCCCAUGACUUUCGGAAACAUUUUUUCACGCUAAGAGUUGCUGAAGCAUGUAACAAACUGCCGGCAUCAGUUGUUAGUAGUCAGAGCAUUGCAUCUUUCAAAACUUCUAUGCUUCCUGAGAUUCGCCAACACUACACCUGAUUUCCUCUCCUCCAUACACACACAAGCAUGUAUUUGACUCAUACACUGCUCACUUCCCAGACAUUUGUACAUUACUGCAUAUGCUUUAUACGCACUUUUGACAAGUUGUGGUGCACCUGAGCACUGUAUACAAUAAUUUCAUUAUUAUUAUUUAAUACAUAUUAUAUUGACACAGGAGUGGCUGUGUGGUUGGUAGCUUGUAUACCAACCACAUGGUUCCAGGUUCAGUCCCACUGCGUGGUACCUUGAACAAGUGUCUUCUACUAUAGCCUAGGGCUGACCAAAGCCAUGUGAGUGGAUUUCGUAGACGGAAACUGAAUGAAGCCCAUCGUAUAUAUAAAUAUAUAUAUAUAUAUAUGUGUGUAUGUAUGUCUGUGUUUCUCCCGCCACUAUUACUUGACAACUGAUGUUGGUGUGUUUACGUCCCCGUUCAGCAAAAGAACCGAUAAAAUAACUUUUAGGUUUACAAAGAAUAAGGGCUCCGGUCGAUUUGCUUGACUAAAGGCGGUGCUCCAGCAUGGCAACUGUCAAAUGACAGAAACAAAUAAUAGAAUAUGAUAUAAAUAUUUGAAAGCAAAACUUCAAGCAAUGCUGGUGAAACAUUAGACAAAAUACUUUUGUUAAUGUCGAUACCUGAAAACAAAGACAAAAAGGUAUUGUGUUACCUGAUCUACAUUGUUUAAUGAUCUUAAAAUAGUAUAGGAUCAUUAAAUAACUAUGUAAGGUAACACAAUAUCUUCUACCUUUGUUUCCACUUUUUUGACGUACCUGUGUAUGUUUUGUCUAAAUUCUCACCUGCAUUGCUCGUAGGUUUUUCAAAACAUUGACAUCAAUUACACACACCAUACACUGCAAUGUUUCAUGCAAAUUAGAAUAUUCUUUGAUGUGUGUGUUUGUGUAUUUGUGUGUAUGUGUGUGAGUGUAUAUAUAUAUACAUAUCAAAGAGAGGUUUAACUUGCAUGUAUGUAUGUAUAUAUAUGAACAGUAAGAGGGUAUAAGAAAUAAAGAUAAAAGGAGAGGGAAAGAAAGACAAUAAAUCUACAACAUAGUCUUUUGCUAUGGGGCAAAUUACAUGUGUGUGUGUGUGUGCAUGCAUAUUGAAAUAUAUAAUUGUUUUAUAUAUAUAUAUAUAUAUAUAUAUAUAUAGUAAUAGGUUAGUAUGAUCCAAAGAUCCUGGUAUUUGAAAUUAGUAAGCCUCUGGCAUGUAUAUUCAAUAUGCCUACUCCACCUUUAUAUAUAUGUAAAGGGUUUUUUUUUUUUACGUGACAUAGUUAUUUGCUUUUAGCUGAAAUUCCUUUAUUUUUAAUCUUAUUAUCUUAUUUUACUAUGUUUCAUUUCUCAUUUUUUUCAUCUUCGUUUAUUUAUGCUUUUUUUUAAUAUAUUUUUGCCGCCUAAAUUCUAUACAUGACAUCUAUUUCUCCUUGUUUAGUUUACUACCCCUGUGUUAAGGAUGCUCCAAUAAUUUAUCUGUGUUAGUUGUCAAAAAUUAUUGGUCAACUUAAUGCACAAUUGGUUUCGUUGUCUGUUAUCACCCUAAUACCAAUGUGCAAUGGAAUUUCAUUGCCCUUCCUUAGACUCUCAUUCUCUUUAGUUCUUUCUACCUCACCGACCCCUCUAUGUAUCGUCCUUGUUUGAUUAAAUGACAUCUAUAAAUAUGCUUGCCUUGUUUCUUUUUGGGGUGACUUACCUACAAACAUAUGGACACUAAAGAAAGCUGACCAGAAGAGAAUUAAUGCAUUCAAGCUUUGGUGUUGGAGAAGACUUUUACGGAUUCCAUGGACAGCAAGGCUCACCAAUGGAGAAAUUCUUAACCAGAUCAAGCCGAAAGUGUCACUAGAAGCUAGGAUCACCAAGCAUAGAUUGACAUAUUUUGGUCAUAUUAUGCAGAGAAAAUUCCUGCAGACGGACAUCAUGCUCGGAAUGGUCAGUGGCAAGAGAUGAAGAGGCCGAUCAAGAACCCGCUGGCUUGACACCAUCAAGAGUAACACAGGAAUGGAUAUAGCCAAUCUGAAAGAAGCAACCUAGGAUAGAACUGGCUGGAGGACACUGAUCCAUCGAGUAACCGAGAGUCAACUUCAACUGAGCGGAUAGAUAGAUAGAUAGAUAGAUGGAUAGAUACCUACAAACAUUUAAUUUCAUUGGUCAUCUUAUUUUGAUUUUGUCUUUUUUUUCUCGACUCACCAUUUUUGUUGUGACUAAACUGAUGACUCAUUUACUCACCUCCAUGUGACAAUGUAGGCAACUUGAAGGCAAUGGAACCUGAAGAUUAGCCAAGAAGCUUUUAUGUGUGUUACAAGUUAUGUUACAAACAUUGUUUUAGCUAUGAAACAUUUGUAGUCUUUAUUGACCUUUUCCAUUCCAUACAUUCUCAGAUUUCUUUGUUAGUGCUAUUACAUGGCAGUGAAACAUGGACGCUGGAAAAGAAAUUUUCUGGCUGCUCACGAACCGCAUGGUUUUGGGUUCAGUCCCACUGCAUGGCACCUUGGGCAAGUGUCUUCUACUAUAGUCUCGGGUCAACCAAAGCCUUGUGAGUGGUUUUGGUAGACAGAAACUGAAAGAAGCCCGUCAUAUAUAUAUGUAUGUGUGUGUAUAUGUUUGUGUGUCUGUGUUUGUCCCCCCAACAUUGCUUGAUAACCGAAGGCAGUGAUGAUGGACCGAGAAGGGAGGCAGCUGGACCAGGAGCCAUGUGGUUGGGAAGCAAAUUUCUUACCAGCCAGCCAUGCCUAUACCUAUGCCUACAUAAAUAUAAAGAAAAUAAUGAGUACUGGGGUUGCUUAGUUUGACUAAAAUCCCUCAAGGCAGUGCCCCAGCAUGGCCACAGUCUAAUGACUGAAAAAAGUAAAAUAUAUAUAUAUAUAUAUAUGAUAAAGGGUAAUAUUAUGUGGUGAAGCAAAUUUUGCUGAACCCUAAUUAUAAUUAUAUUCAUAAUUAUAGAAUUAUAUAUAUAUAUAUAUAUAUAUAUAUGUGUGUGUGUGUGUAUGUAUGUAUAUAUAUAUAUCACACAUGCACACACACACACAUGCACACACACACACAUGCACACACACACACACACACACACACACACUCAUACUUGCACACACACACAUGCACGCACAUGCACACACACACACAUGCACACACACACACACACACACAUAUGCACGCGCACACACACACACACACACACAAGCUCUUCUUCACAGGGUGAAGUGCCGGAACAGCCAGCCUCUCUCAUGAGCUUCAUCUCUGAUUUUCUGCUGAGAUGAUGGUAUCCUAACAAUGACAAACGUUCGUUUAUUUGUCUGAAUAAUUACCAGAAAAGAACGACACUUACCAACAAUAUAUUAUUGAUUACUUCUUGUAGAAAACUUUUUAAUAAUAUUUUACAAAAAUGCACAAUAUAUAUAGGGUUAGGCAGAAACAACGAUGUGUAGCUUCUUGCUGGUGCAAAACCACCACAGGUUCUUAUAAAGCCUAUCAUCAUAUGCUUCCAUGGUAACUAGCACCAUAGUGACAGCUUCAUUCUUCAACUGUCUCCAUAACAUCUCCACUGCCAUUCAUAUUUAUUGUUAUUGCUACAACUCUCUCUACAUAUACAGAAAACGCUUCAGCCCUGGAAAUCUAUCUGUCUAGUAUGAUAGCAUGAAAAAUGCACUGAGUUCACACUCUGGAGUGAUUUUCAGACAGGGAGCAGAGGUGUAGCCUGGUUCUAAAAUUAGGGGGAGCAAGUACUUAAAAAAAAAGGCACCAAUUUUUAAUACAUUUCUCUUAUAUUACACCAAAUAUUUCAUUUGUUAUAAUAUGCGUAAAUGUAUUUUAUAUUCAUUAAUUUCAAGUUUCAGUAAUAUGUCAUUAUAUAUGAAAGUUACAACUAGUAAUAUUAGUAACUAACGAGUAUAAAAAAAAUUGUUGAAGAGGCACCAAUUUUGAAAAAUGUUCUUGGAGGAAGUGAUCGUUUCCCUAGCUCCCCUUCUAGGGGGUGCACUGUCAUCAUUAUCAUCAUCAUCAUCAUCAUCAUCAUCAUCAUUUAAUGUCCACUUUUCCAUGUUUGCAUAGAGGAGAGGGAAUUUGUUGAGGCAAAUUUUCGACAGGCAGAUGCCCUUCCUAUGGAAAACCCUCAUCUGUUUCCCAAGCAAGAUAAUAUUUCCCCAUGGCUAGACAUGUUUUCCACAGAAGACAGGAAACUAACAGCAUUGCUUGUAUAAUGGUAAUGCUUACUUACAACCAUGGGUACACUCAAACAUACAUAUAAACAUAUAUGCAUAUAUAUGUGAUGGGCUUCUUUCAGUUUCCAUCUACCAAACCGACUGACAAGACUUUAGGUGACCCAGUGCUAUAAUAGAAGACACAUGCCCAAGGUGCCACACUGUGGGAAUGAAUCCAAGAUCGCAUAGUAGGGAAGUAAUUUUCUUGACUACACAGGCAUGCCUGCAUCUGUCCAACUGUGAAAUACUCCAAGACAUGAGUCAUCGAUAUAUUAGUAUAAUACAAAAAGAUCUAUGCUUCCAUGUUUAUAAUUAUUGGCUGUAGUUCUUUAGUUAAUGACGGAAUAAAUAGAAAAUUGUUUUAAGGUAAAAACACCUGUUUAUGUGUACAAUCCAUCAACCAUCACCAAAUGGUGUUGGAAACGGGUACCCACCCACCACCAGAAAUUCAUCUCUUGUUAGAAAACCAACAUCAACCUCUGCAUCCACCAUCAAUUAAAUGUGUGCAAAAUAUAAGAUGGAAACAAGCCUCAGCUAGACUCCUUUUGGGCAGGAAAUUCUUCAGCAUGGGUAAAAUGUUUUAUUGGCAGAGAAAAAGAUAAAGUAACUGAAAUAGUUAGUGUGUAGUAAAAUAAUUAAGCUUAAACUGGUUAUAGGUAAUCUGACAACAAUACUAAUAUUUAUAUGUGUGCUACAAACAGCACAUGUAGAUGAACAAAAGGAAUGCUUUUAUGAGUACCGUAAAUCCUCGAGCAUAAUCCACAUUUUUUUCCCAAAAUUUAAAGGUCAAAAUCCCUAGUGCGUACUAUAUACAAGGGUAAAAAAUGAAAACUAUUUUCUAAGCAAUGUUCAAGUCUCUAUUUGCUGUCCGGAAAUCUUUAUUCAGACGCAUUUUGUGAUGUCGGGUGCGAAAAUACCUUAAGCUAAGCCUGAAAGCAAUGAAGUCAUAAAAGAAUCGUCCAUAACUUGCAGUAAGCAACAUUUAUUAAACGUUAUUACUGUUAUUUCUUUAUUUUCUGCAAACAAAAUGCACAAAAAGGCUACAGAAUAAUAUAUGAGAAAGAAAGAAAUCUCCCAAAACUGUAAUUUGAAUGACCUAAUCAUUUUUAACUUCAGAAAACUGGUCAUUAACCUAGUCACCAACCAAUCAGGUGAAUGGUCAAGCCAAAUAACCUUCGUAAUCCCCAGGAAAAGGCAUAAACUUAUGGUUGUGUAUUCUGAGUGUUUUCUUAGUGAAUUAUAUACCACUCAACAUAGACUAGUGAUUAGUGAUGUUAGUAUAAUAGUUAGAUGGAUCCAGAGAUUCAGAGACACAAAACAAUUCUGGAGAAGGAUAGCAUAGUGGUUGCAAGUUUUUUAAGUUCUGAGGAGUAAUAGCUGAUGCAUAUAAUGAGAGAAAGAGCAAUAGAUUUAUAACAUAGAAGACAACUGGAAUUUCUUCAAGACAGCCUGCAGAAGGCAACAGACUAGGUCUGUGGCUCAUGAUAAUUUCUUGCCAAAUGGAGGCUGAAAUUUCGUUUUUGGAUUGGGUUUGCAAGAUUCUUUAUAUGAGUUCGUGUGUUGAAACAUAUUCUGUUGUGUCUGGGGAGAGUCAUUUUAUUUUUGUGCCUUAUAAUUCAACACACUCACCAGUAAAAUUUCCACUUUUCUCUUAUUUUUUGCAAGACGCAACGAAAAUUUUAGGACAAUAAAAAUAAGAAAAAAGUGGAAAUAUUACCAGUGAGUGUGUUAUAUUAUAAGGUACAAAAAGAAAAUGACUCUCCCCAGACACAACAGGAAGAUGACAUGAUGAUGGAAUAAUAUUGUAAGUAGAGCCAUGAAAACUAUGAGUUAGAUCUGGGAAAACUGAAGCAAAAAAUUGUAUAAAAUAACUAAAAAAAUCUAGACAUAAAAGUAAGAAAAGCAAGAAGAGGAGAUGAAAGCAGGUUUUCACUUGUUUUGCAAUGUAAGGAUCAAGGUGUGAAGUGCUUUGGAUUGUAAGGCAGUGCACCUGGGUAGAUUAUAUCAUCAAGGAGAGAAAGGUGUAUAGGAUGAAUGCACUUGCUCUUGUUAAUGUUGUAACGUAAAAGGCACAGAAAUGCCAUUGUGGAAGAUUGGUGGAAGUGAAGAUUGUAAAGAAAGUGAAAGUAAAAGGACCAACUCUGAGUAGAUCUAACAGAAAUUCAGCUUCUUGUAAUCAGUCUUUACUGUAUCUCUUGCCAUCUUCUGUUGUUCUCUUCUUCUGGUUCUACACUCUUUGAGCACAGCACACAAGGCAUUUUGUUUACAGCUAUCAUUCUCUACAUGCAUUAACUGCCAGUUCUUCUACAAUUCUCCGUCCGGGUUGCGGAUCCGUGAUAUAAGCUGCCAGACGAGAUGGUGAAGAUGCCGACGACCGCUCGGUUCAAAGUCUCCCUUGACCACAAGUGGCCUGAACUCUUUACAUGAACACCACCCUGUACAUAACUCCAUGUCUCCCUACAUGGCCUUGCUUUUUGCUUUUUGAGCCAAAUUAACUAACUAACUAACAUUUGAUUCUUGCAUGCUUUAUCGGAUUCCCCUGACACCCAUUUUUCUCUCAGCUCAUUUGUACACCGUCAUUGCAGCACAGACUCACAGCAGUUUUUCAAGCGUUUGCACACAACUUAUGCUUCCAUGGCUCACAUCUUGUGACCCUGCAGCAUUGCAUUUUGCAUCAUAUGUUUUAAUCUUCACUCUCAGAGAGAAACCCUUUAUUACCAGUAGAGGUAACAACUCUUUGAAUUCCCCUAUUCUGCUUUCAGUUCCACUAUAUCACAUGUGUAUCUACAGUUUACAUUAGAUAUAUCAUAUGGAAUUUCUAUCUAUUCCCUUAUUUUACAUAUUGAUCAUGGCCAUUUCACUGAUGGUAGCAGGGUCCUGUCUUCUUUCCUACUUAUAGCCACCUUUGUUUUUUGCUUAGUUUACUUUGAGGUCUUUCGAUUCUAAGUGUUGAUUUCAUGUCUGGAAUUUCUUCUCUAAAUCUUCAGCUAUGAGAACUAGGUCACCAGCAUGCAAGAGUUCCUACAGACAACUGGAAGAUGGCUUUGGUAGUACUUUUACCUGGCAUAAAGCCAAAGCACUUCUCAUCCAAGCUAAUUCUGGUCCUAAGCAAUUGUGCUUUUGCUCUUUCCACAGCUUCCAGAACUUGGUCUAAUAAUGACUGGAUGUUGCAGUAGUUACCUUCCCCAAGUACAUUGCAUAUAAUCUUGUUGCUGUUGAUGAUGGUAGUGUUAUGCUAGUCAUUGGGUAUGAUACAUUCCUGUACCACCUGAUUGAUUUUGUGAGUGACCUACUUCCCCAGAUGUUUUCAGCAUUUCACUGACUCUGUAUGAUCAUCCAAUUGUAUCCCCUGCCUUCCUAAACUGGGCUUGCAACCAGACUAUUGUCAAUUUCAGUGGCUGAUUCUUUUGUUGGGUCUAUUUCAGGUACAACCUCUGUUUCCUAUGCAGUCUCUCCUCACAAAAACAUUUCAUAAUAGCAUUUCCUUUUAGUACAGUGAGGGCAAGUGUGCUGUUAACCUUCUUAUUUCUUUAUUGCUCACAAGGGGCUAAAUAUAGAGGGGGACAAACAAGGACAGACAAAGGGAUUGAGUCGAUUAGAUCGACCCCAGUGCGUAACUAGUACUUAAUUUAUCGACCCCGAAAGGGAUGAAAGGCAAAGUCAAUCUUGGCGAAAUUUGAACUCAGAACAUAACGGCAGAUGAAAUACCGCUAAGGGCAAAUGUGCUGUUAAUCUUCUAUCCACACUUCUCCCUAAUGACAUCUGGAUUUUCUUUCACAUGCAACCUUGCAAUCCAGAAUAUUCCACUCUUCUGAUCUUCAUAUUACCAAACAGAUGCAAGCCUUUUACUUUCAGCUUCUCCUUUUACUAAAUAUACUUGACCUGUAGCUUCUCUUCUAGAUAUAUACUUUGCUCUUUCCUAUGCAUUUUUUUUUUCAGGUUUGUCUCUUAACUUUUGACUCUGUCUACAGUGUUGCACUGUUACCUUCUCUUUGGCCUCUGAUCCUAUCCAUAGCCUUUGGCAGAUUGUCUUACAAGAACUACCAGUUGUUCUCAAUGUCUCCAUCUACUUUUCCUUUUUAUUUUCAUCUUUUAGUUAGUAAAGAAGGCAGUAUCUAUGAGGUUACUGUAGGGCCUGUGAGACUGGAUGGAGGGAGGGAGAGAGGGAGGGAAGGAAGCAUUCUCAAAGCAGGAACCUGGCCUGAAAGCUUGCCAUAGAAAGGAUUCUGUUAAAGGCACCUAAGAUGUGCAGGUACCAGGUGGUGGUAUUAGACCAGGUGACAAGUCUACCACCCAAGUAAGCUACAGCAGGAUUUGAACUCAGAAUGCAAAGUACUGGCACAAAUAUUGCAACCCAUUCAAUCUGAUAUUCUUUGAGCCCCACUAAUUCAAUUCCUGGUUUUUUAUCGAAUCCAAAAGGAAUGAAAGGCAAAGUUAACCUUAGUGGGAUUUGAACUCAGAACAUUUUGAGUCAGAAUAAAUGCCACAAAGUGUUCUAUCUGAAUCUCUAAUGAUAUUUCCAAUGCACUAAUUAUUAUUUCUUUGAACUUGCAACUCAUAGCUGUCCCCUUUCAGCUUCCAUACUUUCUUUCAUCAGAUUGUCUUGUGUCUUUAAGUCUGCCUAGCUCUUACCUGAAAAAUCCCUGACUACUAUUCUAUCUUGUUCGCUGGUAGAUUAUUCACCAGGAAGAGAUUUAGUAUUCCCGAUUGUUCCAUUUCUUGGUGAGUAUAUAGCUUAUCUAGCCUGUCUGUUCACCUGAUUGGUCUGUGAUUAAGUGUCUUGCUGGUUUCCUGAAAUUUACACCAGUGAACAGUAAGAACCAAGUUCGCCCUACAUAUUCUGUACUAUAAGGAUAGCUUUUAUGUGUGUCAGGGAAUCCAUCAUGUUGUAGCUCAGCAUUUCCAUUAAAAUUGCCAAUUCUGAUAAUGAAGCCAUUAUCAUUCGUAAGCAAAGUAGCCUACAAAACGAUCUUCUAAAAAUCAGUAUUUCUCUUCAUCUGACAGACUGUUGUACAGAGACACAGACAAUUGCCACUGUCCUACUGUGCGUUCUUAUGAGGUGGUAUCAAAAAUUUCCUGAACUAGUACUGUAGAGUGCCAACAGAUGGCA
rnacentral:lncRNA from 1 species